GAUUCCCCGCUCGCCGCUCCCCACCCCCCAGGGCUCCCUAAAGAGGGCCACGAGCUGCGAAAGGGCGGGAAAGGCGGUUGGAGAAGGAGAGGUAAGCGGUUACUCACUCCAUGGCUGCAGCAAGGAGAGGCGGCGGCGGCCUCGGCUGAAGAAAGACGGUGGGAGCGGAGAGCGCAGGCGUGCCGAGGUGGAUGUCGGUCUUUUCUCUAUUGCAGAAACCCACCUUGUCCCAUCCACAUCAGGACAUCCCAGCUGGAGUUCAACUUUCAUCCCUUCUGUGGCAGUUAGGAGACUGAAUCAAGGUCCAGAGAAGGUGGAGGGAUCCUGGUAUUGAGCGUCGGUCAAAUCCGUCUUCUAAGGAUACUGCUGAUCAUCUUUAGGGCUCACGCCUGUAGUCCUGGCACUUUGGGAGGACAAAGAGGGAGGAUUGCUUGAGCUCAGGAGUUGAAGACCAGGGCAACAGAGGAAUUCAGCCCAGCCCACAGCACCUGCCGCGUUGCCCUUCACUCCGGCCGUGCCAGCAGCCACCACAGCAGGUGCCACACAGCCAGCUGCUCCCACACCCA
rnacentral:sRNA from 1 species